GAUGAACGCUGGCGGCGUGCCUAAUACAUGCAAGUCGAGCGAACGGACGAGAAGCUUGCUUCUCUGAUGUUAGCGGCGGACGGGUGAGUAACACGUGGAUAACCUACCUAUAAGACUGGGAUAACUUCGGGAAACCGGAGCUAAUACCGGAUAAUAUUUUGAACCGCAUGGUUCAAAAGUGAAAGACGGUCUUGCUGUCACUUAUAGAUGGAUCCGCGCUGCAUUAGCUAGUUGGUAAGGUAACGGCUUACCAAGGCAACGAUGCAUAGCCGACCUGAGAGGGUGAUCGGCCACACUGGAACUGAGACACGGUCCGGACUCCUACGGGAGGCAGAAGUAGGGAAUCUUCCGCAAUGGGCGAAAGCCUGACGGAGCAACGACGCGUGAGUGAUGAAGGUCUUCGGAUCGUAAAACUCUGUUAUUAGGGAAGAACAUAUGUGUAAGUAACUGUGCACAUCUUGACGGUACCUAAUCAGAAAGCCACGGCUAACUACGUG
rnacentral:rRNA from 1 species